rnacentral:rRNA from 1 species
AUGACUAAACCCAAGAGGGCAGGCGGUAUUGGUUUCAGAGAUAUGCAUCUCUUUAACCAAGCCCUUCUUGCGAAACAAGGAUGGAGGCUAAUCGAAAAUCCGGACAGCCUCUGUGCGAGAGUGUUGAAGUCUAAAUACUAUCCCAAUGGUAAUCUACUGGACACCGUCUUUGCUUCAGAUGCGUCCCUGGUAUGGAGAGCUAUAGAGUUUGGGCUUCAGCUCCUAAAGAAGGGGCUCAUCUAG